rnacentral:rRNA from 1 species
GUGUCAGCCGCCGCGGUAAUACGGAGGUGGCAAGCGUUGUUCGGAAUUACUGGGCGUAAAGGGCGCGUAGGCGGCUUUGCAAGUCAGAUGUGAAAGCCCCGGGCUUAACCCGGGAAUUGCAUCUGAAACUGCUUAGCUUGAGUUCUGGAUGGGGUAGUGGAAUUCCCAGUGUAGCGGUGAAAUGCGUAGAUAUUGGGAGGAACACCUGCGGCGAAGGCGGCUACCUGGACAGUGACUGACGCUGAGGCGCGAAAGCUAGGGGAGCGAACGGGAUUAGAAACCCUCGUAGUCC